AUUGAACGCUGGCGGCAGGCCUAACACAUGCAAGUCGAACGAGUGGCGGACGGGUGAGUAAUGUCUGGGCAACCGCCUGAUGGAGGGGGAUAACUACUGGAAACUGUUGCUACUACCGACUACCAUCAGAUGCGCUCAGAUGGGAGUAGCUUGUUGGUGGGGUAACGUCUCACCAAGGCGACGAUCCAUAGGUGGUCUGCGAGGAUGACCAGCAACACGGCCGCGAGGACACGGACCCGACUCCUACGGGAGGCAGCAGUGGAGAAUAUUGCACAGUGGGCGCGAGCCUGAAGCAGCCAUGCCGCGUGUAUGAAGAAGGCCUUCGGGUUGUAGAGGACUUUCAUCGGGGAGGCGUUACCCGCAGAAGAAGCACCGGCUAACUCCGUGCCAGCCGCCGCGGUAAUAC
rnacentral:rRNA from 1 species